UACGUAGGUGGCGAGCGUUGUCCGGAUUUACUGGGCGUAAAGCGCGUGCAGGCGGUCCGUUAAGUGCAGGGUGAAAGCUCCCGGCUCAACUGGGAGAGGUCCUUGUAUACUGGCGGACUUGAGGGAGGUAGAGGAGAGUGGAAUCUCCGGUGUAGUGGUGAUAUGCGUAGAUAUCGGAGGGAACACCAGUGGCGAAGGCGGCUCUCUGGGCCUUACCUGACGCUGAGACGCGAAAGCGUGGGUAGCGAACCGG
rnacentral:rRNA from 1 species